GGAAUAUUGGACAAUGGGCGAAAGCCUGAUCCAGCCAUCCCGCGUGCAGGAUGACUGCCCUAUGGGUUGUAAACUGCUUUUAUCAGGGAAGAAACCCUCGGAUUUAUCCGGGGCUGACGGUACCUGAGGAAUAAGCACCGGCUAACUCCGUGCCACCAGCCGCGGUAAUACGGUGGGUGCAAGCGUUAUCCGGAUUUACUGGGUUUAAAGGGUGCGCAGGCGGAUUUGUAAGUCAGUGGUGAAAGCCCGGAGCUUAACUUCGGAACUGCCAUUGAUACUGCUUAUCUUGAGUACAGUUGAGGUGGGCGGAAUGCAGCAUGUAGCGGUGAAAUGCUUAGAUAUGCUGCAGAACACCAAUUGCGAAGGCAGCUCGCUAAGCUGUAACUGACGCUGAGGCACGAAAGCGUGGGGAGCGAA
rnacentral:rRNA from 1 species